rnacentral:rRNA from 1 species
AUUGAACGCUGGCGGCAGGCCUAACACAUGCAAGUCGAGCGGAUGAAGGGAGCUUGCUCCUGGAUUCAGCGGCGGACGGGUGAGUAAUGCCUAGGAAUCUGCCUGGUAGUGGGGGAUAACGUCCGGAAACGGGCGCUAAUACCGCAUACGUCCUGAGGGAGAAAGUGGGGGAUCUUCGGACCUCACGCUAUCAGAUGAGCCUAGGUCGGAUUAGCUAGUUGGUGGGGUAAAGGCCUACCAAGGCGACGAUCCGUAACUGGUCUGAGAGGAUGAUCAGUCACACUGUAACAGAGACACAGUCCAGACACCUACAGGAGGCAGCGGUGGGGAAUAUUGGGGAAUGGGCGAGAGCCUGAUCCACCGAUAUGGCGUGUGUGAAGAAGGUCUUCGGAUUGUAAAGCACUUUAAGUUGGGAGGAAGGGCAGUAAGUUAAUACCUUGCUGUUUUGACGUUACCAACAGAAUAAGCACCGGCUAACUUCGUG